GCCUAGCCGUAAACUUUUAUUUACACUCAAACCGCCAGGGAACUACGAGCAAAGCUUAAAACCCAAAGGACUUGACGGUACCCCAUAUCCCCCUAGAGGAGCCUGUCCUAUAAUCGAUAAUCCACGUUUAACCUCACCAUUUCUAGUUUAUCAGCCUGUAUACCUCCGUCGUCAGCUUACCACGUGAGCGCCUAUUAGUGAGCUUAAUGUUAUUUCACCAACACGUCAGGUCAAGGUGCAGCAAAUGAAGUGGGAAGAGAUGGGCUACACUUUCUAUAUUAGAAGAAACGAAAAACUAUUUAUGAAAACUAGUUGGAAGGCGGAUUUAGCAGUAAAAAGGAAUCAGCAUGUCCAUUUUAACCCGGCACUGGGGUGUGU
rnacentral:rRNA from 1 species